AUUUACCAAUAGCAAACCGGUCUAAAAAACAUCUAUUAUGACAAUAAAAAGCUCCGAACUUCUGAAAAGAAUGACUGCAUAUGAAUGUGAAAUUAAAAAAAAUAUCAACACUACUUCUUAAUGAAUGUAUUACUUUGGUUCUAGGAAAAUCAAAAUGAUAUAGUAUUACAAAUUAAUCAAUAUAUUAUUCAGUGUUGUUUUUGCAUGUUAAUAUCUCCCUAAGUGGUUACAAUCUAUUCACAAGAAGGCCUAUUCAAUCCCAUAGCUCGGUUUGACGUUAUCGAGAGAUUGUGCAAUGCUAUGGACAAUGAUGGUAUACAAAUCCAAUGCUAGCGUGCAGAGUAAAUUGAAUUCAGUAUACUUCACUGACUCACAUUAUUUGCUACACACAUCGUAAUCUUAUAAAAAAGCCAAAAGGUAAGCUAAAUCUAGAAAGAAAAUAAGUAUAUUUUUAAACAAACAAUUAGGCACUGCGUCGGAUAAAGCAAGCAUGUUAUCAGUCAGACUGGGUUUUCUUCCUAAAAAACACAUGCGGUAUGCUGAUACUAAAAAAUGCGUUACCUUGCUAAAAGAACUUGUAGUAUUGCACUUGAUGUUUGUCUUUUAGAUUCUAGAAAAAAAAACCCCCUUGAAAUUAUAACGGAAUUUUAACGAGGACAAAGUUUGGGACACUAUUAUCACCAAAAGUGCCGAAUUGUAACUGCUUAAAUAAAAAGUAAUGCAACAAUAGCAUACACAACAAAUAUCUAAAAACGAAACGAAAAAAAUCCUUUCAAAAAUAUAUUAAGCACCUCCGUCAGCGAAAUAGAGUAAAACUUGUAACUU